rnacentral:rRNA from 1 species
UACGUAGGUGGCAAGCGUUGUCCGGAUUUAUUGGGUUUAAAGGGUGCGUAGGCGGUCUUAUAAGUCAGUGGUGAAAUACGGCAGCUUAACUGUCGAGGUGCCAUGAUACUGCAAGACUUGAGUACAGACGAGGUAGGCGGAAUUGACGGUGUAGCGGUGAAAUGCUUAGAUAUCGUCAAGAACACCGAUAGCGAAGGCAGCUCACUAGACUGUAACUGACGCUGAUGCACGAAAGUGUGGGGAUCAAACAGG